GUGUCAGCAGCCGCGGUAAUACAGAGGGUGCAAGCAUUAAUCGGAUUUAUUGGGCGUAAAGGGCGCGUAGGCGGACUGAUAAGUCAGAUGUGAAAUCCCGGGGCUCAACCCCGGAACAGCAUUUGAAACUGUCGAUCUAGAGGGUAGGAGGAGAAAAUGGAAUUCCACGUGUAGCGGUGAAAUGCGUAGAUAUGUGGAAGAACACCGGUGGCGAAGGCGAUUUUCUAUCUUAUACCUGACGCUGAGGCGCGAAAGCAAGAGGAUCAAACAGGAUUAGAUACCCUGGUAGUUCUUGCCUUAAACGAUGUAUACUUGAUGUAACUGGAAUCAACCCUAGUUGUGUCGAAGCUAACGCGAUAAGUAUACCGCCUGGGGAGUACGCUCGCAAGGGUGAA
rnacentral:rRNA from 1 species